rnacentral:rRNA from 1 species
UGAAUACGAGACGCUAAGGCGUCGAAGUAGUGUAUGUCAUACUUCCAAGAAAAGCUUGCACUGUCAUAGAUAAAAAACGCCUGUACCAUAACCGACACAGGUGGGUAGGUAGAGUAUACUAAGGGGCGCGAGAUAACUCUCUCUAAGGAACUCGGCAAAAUAACUCCGUAACUUCGGGAGAAGGAGUGCCUUAUUCGUAAGGUUGCAAUAACAAGAUCCAAGCAACUGUUUAUCAAAAACACAGGUCUCCGCUAAGUCGUAAGACGAUGUAUGGGGGCUGACGCCUGCCCAGUGCCAGAAGGUUAAAGAAGUUGGUUAGCAAUUGCGAAGCUGAUAACUGAAGCCCUGGUGAACGGCGGCCGUAACGAUAACGGUCCUAAGGUAGCGAAAUUCCUUGUCGGGUAAGUUCCGACCCGCACGAAAGGCGUAAUGAUUUGGAUACUGUCUCGGAGAGGGGCUCGGUGAAAUAGACUUGUCUGUGAAGAUGCGGACUACCUGCACCAGGACAGAAAGACCCUAUGAAGCUUUACUGUAACUUGAAAUUGAAAUUGGACUUUAUUCGCGCAGUAUAGGUGGGAGGCGUUGAUUAUAAUCUUGUGGGAUUAUUGGAGCCAUCAGUGAGAUACCACUCUUGUAAUGUUAGAUUUCUAACUUUGAAUCAUUAUCUGGUCAAAGAACAGUUUCAGGCGGGCAGUUUGACUGGGGCGGUCGCCUCCUAAACGGUAACGGAGGCGUACAAAGGUUUCCUCUGAACGGUUAGAAAUCGUAUCUAGAGUGUAAAGGCAUAAGGAAGCUUGACUGUGAGACCUACAAGUCGAGCAGGGACGAAAGUCGGUCUUAGUGAUCUGACGGUACUGAGUGGAAAGGCCGUCACUCAACGGAUAAAAGUUACUCUAGGAUAACAGGCUGAUCUCCCCCAAGAGUUCACAUCGACGGGGAGGUUUGGCACCUCGAUGUCGGCUCAUCGCAUCCUGGGGCGGUAGUACGUCCCAAGGGUUGGGCUGUUCGCCCAUGAAAGCGGUACGCGAGCUGGGUUCAGAACGUCGUGAGACAGUUCGGUCCAUAUCCGGUGUAGGCGUUAGAAUAUUGAGAGGAGCCUUCUUUAGUACGAGAGGACCGAGAAGGACAUACCUCUGGUGUACCAGUUAUCGUGCCAACGGUAAACGCUGGGUAGCUAUGUAUGGAGUGGAUAACCGCUGAAAGCAUCUAAGUGGGAAGCCCACCUCAAGAUAAGUAUUCUCAUC